ensembl:lncRNA
GGAAAACAAAAGCCAACAAGCUGAGAGGGGUUCAACGGCAGAAUGAAAAGAGUUGGAGUUCUCACUAAGUCACUGAACUGCCACCUAUCUCAGUACUUCCUGUUAAGACAACAAUAAAUAUCCUGAUGAUUAAGUCAUUGCAGGACUGGCUUUUUGGUAUUCGCAGCUGCAAGCGUUCUUAACUGAUAUAUCCACAGAAGCUCAAAAUAGAGGCCAUUUGUCAGGAUCAACAAAUGGUUGAUGAAAAAUGAAUAAGAUCAUCCUUAUCCUCAAGAGAAUGAAGUCGUAAAAAUGGGUGAACUUUCUAGAAGUUAAGAUAGAAAGAAAUGCUCAAGUGUAAAUACUUUGUAUUGUAAAUAGCCAGGGAAAGAGAAAGAAGAACUAGUGAAGAAACCAACAAAAGAAUAUCAUGACGGAGGAGGGAACGAGAGCCAGUGAGGUGCAUCAGAACCACCUAAAGGGACUGUCAAAAAUGUGGAUCUGCUGGCUCCACUCCACACAGACUUGACCAGAAGCUCUGCCAGUGUGGCCCCAGGAAUCUGCAUUGCUAAGCUCACACAGGUGAUUCUUCUGCAUGUUCUAACGUCAUGAAAAACAAAGGAAGAGUUUCAAAGAAAAGGUGGGCAACAAUGAAAAAUUAUAUAAAAAUGUAAACACUAAAAAAUAUGAAAAAUGUAAGAUUCACCACAAAUGAGAGAAAAUCCUGCUGAUUUUCCUAUUUUUAAACUAAAAAGAUAUUGAAGUAAGCAUACCCCGUGGAUGGUGGAGCAGAAAGCUGUGAACCUGGAUCCUUGAUGGCUGUGUUCAGCAGCUGAAUCAACCAUAACAUCACCUGCCUCCGGACUUCCAAUGUUAAUGGAAAUUUGAGAACGUGUACAAUUGCUUUUUAUGAAGCACUGAAUAUUCUUCCACUCCUGCCUCCCUACAUGUGUCAGUUCUCCUUAGCAUUCUGCAAUGAUCAAAACGGACAUAUUCACAUAUGUAUAAAUGUCUAUUUGGGGAAAUGAUAUGGUUUUAAAAAUGUUGUUGCUGUUAUGUUAUGUCGCUGUUGGUAUGUCUUUAUUUUGUCCUGUUGCUAGACACAUGUUGACAAUUCUUGAGGGAAUAAAGAUUCUACUGUUUCCCUUUACAUUUAAUUACUUUGAG